GACGACGACGACGUCGCCAUAGUCCAGCUCAUCAUCAUAUUUCUCCCCACCCCCAGGUGUCUCUCUCUCUCUGCCUCCGCGCGCGACGUCGCAUGACGGAGCUCCGGCGAGCUUGUUCACCUCCGGAGAACGAGCUGAAUACCCCUCGAAAAUGGUGACGACGAGGAGGAUCGGGAAGUACCAGGUCGGGCGGACGAUUGGCGAGGGCACUUUCGCCAAGGUCAAGUUCGCGCAGAACCUGGAAAAUGGGAACAACGUGGCCAUAAAAAUUAUGGCCAAAAGCACCAUUCUUAAGCACAGAAUGGUUGAUCAGAUCAGAAGGGAGAUAUCCAUAAUGAAGAUAGUCAGGCAUCCUAACAUAGUUAGGCUGCAUGAAGUUUUAGCAAGCCGGACAAAGAUAUAUAUCAUUCUUGAGUUUGUGAGUGGCGGAGAAUUAUUUGAUAAAAUUGUUCACCAAGGAAGACUUCCUGAAAACUUAUGUCGGAAAUAUUUCCAGCAGCUUAUAGAUGCAGUUGCUCAUUGUCAUAGCAAGGGUGUCUAUCAUAGGGAUCUGAAGCCUGAGAAUCUUCUUCUCGAUUUUCAUGGAAACUUGAAAGUUUCUGACUUUGGAUUGAGUGCUCUGCCCCAGCAGGGGGUUGGACUCCUUCACACAACCUGUGGAACACCAAACUAUGUUGCUCCCGAGGUGCUUGGGCAGCAGGGAUAUGAUGGUGCAGCAGCAGAUAUAUGGUCGUGUGGAGUCAUUCUCUAUGUCAUAAUGGCUGGAUUUCUCCCAUUUGAUGAAGUUGACCUUCCUACUCUUUAUAAAAAGACAAAUGCUGCCGCAUUUUCUUGCCCCAUCUGGUUUUCUCCAGGUGCGAAGUCCUUGAUCCAAAAGAUUCUUGAUCCCAAUCCUAAGACACGCAUUGAUAUCAAUAAUAUCAGGAAGCAUCUGUGGUUUCAUAAGAACUAUGUGCCUAUCAAACAUAGAGAACAUGAAGAUGUGGAUCUGGAUGAUGUGCAUGCAGUUUUCGAUGAUAUCAAGGAAAAGUAUGUGGCUGAGAACUCAGAGACUUUAGAAGGGAGCCCUCUAAUGAUGAAUGCGUUUGAGAUGAUAACUCUAUCUCAAGGGCUGAAUCUAUCCCCUCUUUUUGACAGGGGUCUGGAUCAUGUAAAGCGGCAACUCGUUUUGUUUCCCGAAAACCAGCGCAAGUUGUGAUUUCAUCUAUUGAAGCUGUUGGAAAAUCAAUGGGUCGCAAAGUCCAUACGCUUAAUUUCAAGACAAGAAUUGAAGGAAUAUCUGCAAAUAAGGCUGGUCAACUUGCAGUCGUCUUGGAGAUGUUUGAAGUGGCACCAUCUCUUUUCAUGGUUGAUGUUAGAAAGGCUGCUGGGGAUACACUCGAGUUUCAUAAGUUCUACAAGGACCUCUGUUCAAAGCUGGAACACAUCAUCUUGAAACCGGCAGAGCAUUUGGCAAGCGCCAGUCUGCUCAGAACAAUGACUUGCUGAUCCAACCAUUGUAGUGGGCGUGAGGCAAAUCAUUGCGCAGACUGCACUCCGAGACAGCUGCUCCUUCGCCAAGAUGAUGGACUCCUUGAAAAUACAGCAGCUUCGGGGUGAUAUACCCAAAAAAACUAAUUAAAAAAGAAAAGAAAAAAAGAGCUGUAUAUGUUUGGCUCUGUAGAUUAUGGUAGUCUUGAUGAUCACGAAAUCGUUACGAAGGAUCUUAGCUUUCAUCCAGAGGCAUCACCACUUGUAUUCUUUGAUUUAGGGAUUUCUCAGCAAUGUAGAACCGAACUUGUUUCUUUAUAAAAAUAGACUUGCUUAAAGUAAUAAAACGAAAAGGAAAAUGUUAACGAGCA